AGCAGCCGCGGUAAUUCCAGCUCCAAUAGCGUAUAUUAAAGUUGUUGCAGUUAAAAAGCUCGUAGUUGAAUUUCGGAGUUUAUCGGUUGGUCGGGCUUCACUGUCCGCACUGACCUGAUGGAUUCCUACCUUCUGAAUAACCAGCAUGCUAUUAAAUUAGUGCGUUGGGGAAGCAGAGCUAUUACCUUGAAAAAAUUAGAGUGCUUAAAGCAGGCUUAUGCUUGAAUAGAUUAGCAUGGAAUAAUAAAAUAGGACGGCAUGGUUCUAUUUUGUUGGUUUCUAGGAUCACCGUAAUGAUUAAUAGGGAUAGUUGGGGGCAUUAGUAUUCAAUUGUCAGAGGUGAAAUUCUUGGAUUUAUUGAAGACUAACUUCUGCGAAAGCAUUUGCCAAGGAUGUUUUCAUUAAUCAAGAACGAAAGUUAGGGGAUCGAGACGAUCAGAUACCGUCGUAGUCUUAACCAUAAACUAUGCCGACUAGGGAUCGGACGAUGUUAAUUUUUUAAUGACUCGUUCGGCGCCUU
rnacentral:rRNA from 1 species